CCUCCUCAUGUAUCUCUCUCUGUCCAGGAACCCAGGACCGCCAUGACGCCGCCACGAACGGGAGCAACCUCCUGCCGCCCUUCACCUCCUGCCGCCGUCCGGAUCCAGCGCCCCUUCGCCCGUCCAUCCCCGGCCUCCUGUGCUCGCCUAUUUCCUCUGCAUCGAAGCUGAGCGCCCCAUCUCGUUGACCAGAUCGAGCGCGAGAGCUCGUGCACGACACCCCAACGCCCGCGCCUGGGCCACCUCUGCUUCGGUCCAGCGGCCCCCCUCCGUUGCCCGAGGCCCAGCGCCCCAGCUGGCCUCCUCUGCCUCGGCCUUUAGGCCCAAUGUGAGCAGCCCAGUUCCAUCAGUUUCGGCCCAGUGUAGUUUUUUUUCCUUGGACGAAUUUUCCUAUUAUCCAUUAAACUGCAUAUUUACAUAUUACCCCACCAUGUUCAUGCAUAUAAUAUCUAAUAAACCGUGCAUUGGUUUAAAAUUUUUUAAACAUGUAAAAUGCUUAGUUUUUCUUCCUGUUUCAUAAUAACCAACUUUCAUUCAUGUUUAAAAUGUUUAAACUUGUUGUUUGUUUAAUUUUGCUUAAAUGCCAUGUUAAAAUGAUUUAUUUCAUAACUAAAUAACCGUAGCUCGGUUUUAAAUAAACUUUAUAUGUAAAUGGGGUGGGAAAAUUCAUAGAUUAACUUGUUGCACUUUAUUUUCCUGUUUAACAACAAUAAAAUAUGGUUUUAGGCAGAACAAUACCAAAUCUAAAAUAUGGACAUGAGGAUUUUCCGGAAUUGUUGUUUGUUGUUCCGGCCUCAUUUAAACUUGCCUAGAUAGGUAGUUUUAUUAUGUUUCACCUCUUGCCAUGUUACAACCUUUAAUAUUGUUGGGUAGCAUAAACGGGAGCGAACUAAAAAAUUGAACGUGGUGUUCCGUUAAUAUGCAACUCGUUGCAUAUUGAGCUCCACUUAAAUUGUAGUUUUGUUUGCUUCACCUUGCCAUGCCAUGCCUCUUUAAACCGGACAUGCAUCAUACUUGGUUGUGCAUCAAGCCAUGAUUAUGUGAUGGUUGUUUACCAUGUUGUUUGCUUCUUUCCGGUUUGCUUCUCUCGUUAGCUUCGGUUUUGUUCCGGAGUUGUGAGGAUUUGUUCGACUACAUUCGUUUGUCUUCUUCUUGGACUCGUUCUUCUUCCUAUUAGGAUCUCAGGCAAGAUGACCGUUACCCUCGAUAUCACUUCUAUCUUUGCUUGCUAGUUGCUUUGUUCUAUCGCUAUGCUGCGCUACCUUUCACUUAUUUACCAUGCCUCCCAUAUUGCUAUGUUACUGCUUUUGCUCAGCCCCACUUAUAGCGUUGCUAGUUGCAGGUGAAGUUGAAGAUUGCUCCAUGUUGGAACAUGGUUAUGUUGGGAUAUCACAAUAUCUGUUAUGUUAAUUAAUGCAUCUAUAUAUUUGGUAAAGGGUGGAAGGCUCGACCUUAUGCCUGGUGUUUUGUUCCACUCUUGCCGCCUUAGUUUCCGUCAUACCGAUGUUAUGUUCCUUGAUGUUGCGUUCCUUACGCGGCCGGGUGUAUGGGAACCCCUUGACAAUUUGCUUUGAAUAAAACUCCUCCAGCAAGGCCCAACAUUGGUUUACAUUUGCCUAACAUCCUACUAACUUUCCCUUGGGAGUUAUAAACCUGAGGGUCAUCUUUUAUUUAAGCCCCCCGGGCCAGUGCUUCUCCAAGUGUUGGUCCGAACCGGGCGAUGUUCGGCGCCCCCUGGGCAACCAGGGUCUAUGCCAACCCGACGUCUGGCCCAUCCGGUGUGCUGUGAGAACGAGAUAUGUGCAGCUCCUAUCAGGAUUUGUCAGCACAUUCGGGUGGUCUUGCUGGUCUUGUUUUACCAUUGCCGAAAUGUCUUGUAACCGGGAUUCCGAGGCUGAUCGGGUCUUCCCGGGAGAAGGAAUAUCCUUCGUUGGUCGUGAGAGCUUAUAAUGGGCUAAGUUGGGACACCCCUGCAGGAUUUAAACUUUUGAGAGCCGUGCCCGUGGUUAUGUGGCAGAUGGGAAUUUGUUAAUAUCCGGUUGUAGAGAACUUGACACUUGACUUAAUUAAAAAGCAUCAACCGCGUGUGUAGCCGUGAUGGUCUCUUUUCGGUGGAGUCCGGGAAGUGAACACGGUCUUGGUGUUAUGAUUGUGCAUAAGCAGUUUCAGGAUCACUUCUUGAUCACUUCUAGCUUCUCGACAGUUCCGUUUGCUUCUCUUCUCGCUCUUAUUUGCGUAUGUUAGCCACCAUAUUUGCUUAGUGCUUGUUGCAACCCCACCUCAUUACCACUUCCUACCCAUAAGCUUAAAUAGUCUUGAUCUCGCGGGUUUUGAGAUUGCCGAUGAUACCAGUGCAGGUGAUGCAACCGAGCUCAGAUGGGAGCUCAACGAAGAUCUUGGUUGUUGCUAUGUUUCAUUUCAUGUUGAUCAUUAGUGGAGCCCAGUUGGGACGAUCGGGGAUCUAGCAGUUGGGUUAUCUUCUUUUCUUUUGGCUUCGUCCGUAGUCGGACUAUGUAUGUACUCUGAAUGAUGUAUGAAUUAUAUGUUCAUUGUGUGAAGUGGCGAUUGUAAGCCAAUUCUUUAUCCCAUUCUUGUUCAUUAC
rnacentral:lncRNA from 1 species